AGAACGAACGCUGGCGGCAGGCUUAACACAUGCAAGUCGAACGGGUGUAGCAAUACAUCAGUGGCAGACGGGUGAGUAACACGUGGGAACCUUCCUCGUUGUACGGAACAACUCAGGGAAACUUGAGCUAAUACCGUAUACGUCCGAGAGGAGAAAGAUUUAUCGCAAUGAGACGGGCCCGCGUCGGAUUAGCUAGUUGGUGGGGUAAUGGCCUACCAAGGCGACGAUCCGUAGCUGAUCUGAGAGGAUGAUCAGCCACACUGGGACUGAGACACGGCCCAGACUCCUACGGGAGGCAGCAGUGGGAAUCUUGGACAAUGGGCGCAAGCCUGAUCCAGCCAUGCCGCGUGAGUGAAGAAGGCCUUAGGGUUGUAAAGCUCUUUUGCCAGGGACGAUAAUGACGGUACCUGGAGAAUAAGCCCGGCAACUUCGUGCCAGCAGCCGC
rnacentral:rRNA from 1 species